rnacentral:rRNA from 1 species
GUGGGGAAUUUUGGACAAUGGGCGCAAGCCUGAUCCAGCAAUGCCGCGUGCAGGAAGAAGGCCUUCGGGUUGUAAACUGCUUUUGUACGGAACGAAAAGGCUCUGGCUAAUACCUGGAGCUCAUGACGGUACCGUAAGAAUAAGCACCGGCUAACUACGUGCCAGCAGCCGCGGUAAUACGUAGGGUGCGAGCGUUAAUCGGAAUUACUGGGCGUAAAGCGUGCGCAGGCGGUGCUGUAAGACAGGCGUGAAAUCCCCGGGCUCAACCUGGGAAUUGCGCUUUGGACUGCAGUGCUGGAGUACGGCAGAGGGGGAUGGAAUUCCGCGUGUAGCAGUGAAAUGCGUAGAUAUGCGGAGGAACACCGAUGGCGAAGGCAGUCCCCUGGGCCUGUACUGACGCUCAUGCACGAAAGCGUGGGGAGCAAACAGGAUUAGAUACCCGGUAGUCC